ACCUGUGGCUGGGGGUGAAAGGCCAAUCAAACCGGGAGAUAGCUGGUUCUCCCCGAAAGCUAUUUAGGUAGCGCCUCGUGAAUUCAUCUCCGGGGGUAGAGCACUGUUUCGGCUAGGGGGCCAUCCCGGCUUACCAACCCGAUGCAAACUGCGAAUACCGGAGAAUGUUAUCACGGGAGACACACGGCGGGUGCUAACGUCCGUCGUGAAGAGGGAAACAACCCAGACCGCCAGCUAAGGUCCCAAAGUCAUGGUUAAGUGGGAAACGAUGUGGGAAGGCCCAGACAGCCAGGAUGUUGGCUUAGAAGCAGCCAUCAUUUAAAGAAAGCGUAAUAGCUCACUGGUCGAGUCGGCCUGCGCGGAAGAUGUAACGGGGCUAAACCAUGCACCGAAGCUGCGGCAGCGACGCUGAUGCGUUGUUGGGUAGGGGAGCGUUCUGUAAGCCUGUGAAGGUGGCCUGUGAGGGUGGCUGGAGGUAUCAGAAGUGCGAAUGCUGACAUAAGUAACGAUAAAGCGGGUGAAAAGCCCGCUCGCCGGAAGACCAAGGGUUCCUGUCCAACGUUAAUCGGGGCAGGGUGAGUCGACCCCUAAGGCGAGGCCGAAAGGCGUAGUCGAUGGGAAACGGGUUAAUAUUCCCGUACUUGGUGUUACUGCGAAGGGGGGACGGAGAAGGCUAUGUUGGCCGGGCGACGGUUGUCCCGGUUUAAGCGUGUAGGUGUGUGUUCCAGGUAAAUCCGGUUCACUUUAACACUGAGGCGUGAUGACGAGGCACUACGGUGCUGAAGCAACAAAUGCCCUGCUUCCAGGAAAAGCCUCUAAGCAUCAGGUAACAUCAAAUCGUACCCCAAACCGACACAGGUGGUCAGGUAGAGAAUACCAAGGCGCUUGAGAGAACUCGGGUGAAGGAACUAGGCAAAAUGGUGCCGUAACUUCGGGAGAAGGCACGCUGACACGUAGGUGAAGUGAUUUACUCACGGAGCUGAAGUCAGUCGAAGAUACCAGCUGGCUGCAACUGUUUAUUAAAAACACAGCACUGUGCAAACACGAAAGUGGACGUAUACGGUGUGACGCCUGCCCGGUGCCGGAAGGUUAAUUGAUGGGGUCAGCGCAAGCGAAGCUCCUGAUCGAAGCCCCGGUAAACGGCGGCCGUAACUAUAACGGUCCUAAGGUAGCGAAAUUCCUUGUCGGGUAAGUUCCGACCUGCACGAAUGGCGUAAUGAUGGCCAGGCUGUCUCCACCCGAGACUCAGUGAAAUUGAACUCGCUGUGAAGAUGCAGUGUACCCGCGGCAAGACGGAAAGACCCCGUGAACCUUUACUAUAGCUUGACACUGAACAUUGAGCCUUGAUGUGUAGGAUAGGUGGGAGGCUUUGAAGUGUGGACGCCAGUCUGCAUGGAGCCGACCUUGAAAUACCACCCUUUAAUGUUUGAUGUUCUAACGUGGACCCGUAAUCCGGGUUGCGGACAGUGUCUGGUGGGUAGUUUGACUGGGGCGGUCUCCUCCUAAAGAGUAACGGAGGAGCACGAAGGUUGGCUAAUCCUGGUCGGACAUCAGGAGGUUAGUGCAAUGGCAUAAGCCAGCUUGACUGCGAGCGUGACGGCGCGAGCAGGUGCGAAAGCAGGUCAUAGUGAUCCGGUGGUUCUGAAUGGAAGGGCCAUCGCUCAACGGAUAAAAGGUACUCCGGGGAUAACAGGCUGAUACCGCCCAAGAGUUCAUAUCGACGGCGGUGUUUGGCACCUCGAUGUCGGCUCAUCACAUCCUGGGGCUGAAGUAGGUCCCAAGGGUAUGGCUGUUCGCCAUUUAAAGUGGUACGCGAGCUGGGUUUAGAACGUCGUGAGACAGUUCGGUCCCUAUCUGCCGUGGGCGCUGGAGAACUGAGGGGGGCUGCUCCUAGUACGAG
rnacentral:rRNA from 1 species